GCAUCGAAGAUGUCACCACAUUCUUCCAAUCUCAUUGUUCCUUGGACAGAGACAAAUUUCAAUGAAAAAAAUUCCAGGUAUACACAAGGACUUUGACCUUACCAGCAAAGAGACGUCCUUUGGGAUCGGCUUUACCAUCGUUGAAGCGAUUGGUUUUGUAUUUGUGGUCAUCUUGUUCCACUUGACCAACCAAACGGGUCACUUUGGCCGUUGCUGACUUUCCAUCCCACGUCACAACACCCACACGACGUCCAAUUCCGAUGGCAAAUUCAGAAUCAUUUCCCUCCACCGGCACAAUGAAUGAGAUCACGGGUUCUUUCUCUGUUUGGAAACAACAGAAUCAUAACAAAAAAAAGUAAAAUCCAUCACAGAAUUAUUAUAAGUUGAACAAUAAAGGCACGUGGAAAAGAGAUCUGUGGCAGAGAUCGCGAGUCCGGAUCAUGAAGAUGCACAUAAAUGGUUUGUGCAAAAUGCCAUGGCUAUUUAUACCCAAACAUACAACACAGCUCAGAGAGUAUCUCGAGAUCCGCCAGCAUGAUUCAGCGAUCUCUGUGCGAGAAGCAUUGGAUGUCCAGUAAAAAUUCCACGAGGGACUCUUUUUGCCUGUCCUUCACCUGAGAAAGUCAACCGUGGCCACACAUGGAUAUAGAGGCUUGGGAUGUGUGUUGGUGACGGUGUCUCGUCGUGCAUCUUCGGCGGAACCAGCAGGCAUCCACGGAGACACUCCAUGACGCACCAGAGACGGAUUCGUGAGAAUCUGGGGGAGAUUAUCCCGGGAUUGGUGUGCAUUAAUUAGCUUCCGGGGAUGCUAGUACAAAGGGAAUGAUGUGAGAUGGGGUAUGUGCAUUGAGUAAAUGGGAAUUUUAUUCAUUUGGAUCGAAUUCCCUCUUUCCUGUUGCCUCGAGCUUGGUGGAAGCAACUCCCUGGCCUGAAUCGCGCGCGAGCAGGAUAGAGUAAGAUAGCAUGAGGUGUUCCAGUAGUUGCCCAACGAAUUUUAAUCUCGAGCUGUGUAUUUUAAAAGUCACUGCUAUUGGAAUUAAAAACAAAGUU